GUGGGUGAGGGGCUUCCUGCUGCAGCCUUCAGCGGGACUCUGAGGGUUGGGGGUCACUGGAGAAGGAGGUGGCUUCCUGCCCCAUUGUUCAGGACUUCAUUGUUUCUCAGGAAUACUUAUUGUAUGUGAAUUUUCAAUAAUUAACUUGGAAAGCUGCACGUGUUCCCGUCAUUCAGCAAACACUGAGCACUUACUGGGUACAGAGGUGGCAGCAGAGCCUCUCUUCACGGAAAGGGGCCAGAAAACCCACUGGGCCAGGGUCUCCAAGUUAGCUUUUGACAUUAUCUCUGAAUGGGGUUAUACAUUAUGUCAGAUCCACUAACGAAUUUGAUGAAAGACCCUCAUUCUUUGUCCUUAAGCUUGUUUCUUAUUAACAAAGACUGCUAUGCCUGUGGAGCACUAUGCAUGAUUGUAUUUUAAUAAAUCCUAUAAUCAUCUUGUGAGCAGCACAAUUAUGGUGUAAUUUUUUGAAUUAGAAGCAUUAAAGUAUUAAACAUGGAAAAACAUGCCUCAGUAUUUAUUUGUGAACUUGUUUUGUCGUUUCUUCAUUUUCAAAUAUACUAGGAGCCUGAAAAAAAGUCGAAGUGCCCUGGGCUCCCCUUGACCCCCGCGCGGAGCAGAGAUGAAGCGUCAUUCUGGCACGAGUUGGGGACACGGGGGACACACCGACGCGCAGUCGGUGCAGGCCAAGUGCUGUAGUAUGCGAUGAGCAAGUCUGUGCAGAGAAGGGGGCGGACUGACAGCAGAGGGGAGGAGGCUUCCCAGAGGAGGUGACAUCUGAGCUGGCUCGCAGAGACUGUAGGAGUCUCGGAGGUGGAGAAUGAGGGGAGGGAAAGCAUUCCAGUCUUCCAGAACAGCAUGUGCGAAGUCAGGGAGGCGUGAAAGGACAGAGCUUGUUCCAGGAUGGCCAGGAUUGUGCAGGGCUAGAGGGAAGCGUGUGGGGGUGGAGUGGCAGGGGGAGGAAGCCGAGCAGGGACAGUCUCUCAGGUCCCCUGGCCUGCCUGCCUCAGCCUUUGGCCGUGGAUCAGCUGCGGAUGAGGUCUCGUCUAUAGGGGGAGGCACGUGAUGGGUGAAGGAGGAAGGCAGUCGUCAGUCCCAGAGUGGAGGAGGCCCGGGCGUAGCAGGAACUUGGGUGGAAGUGACCCCCAACAGCUGCCCGAAGAGGGAACCAAGGCAGACGGAGACCAGCCGCCUCUGCACCAUCACCCCGUGAAGGAGGCACUCACACCGCUCCUAUGUUUACAGAGGGACCAGGUCUGGAGUCCUUAAAGGCCCCCGAAGUCAGCUCUGAACAGGGGAUAGCAGCGUCUGGGAAGAGAUCUUUCUAUACGGCGUGGGAGCCCCAUCUGCCUAUGCGGAGCUGUGCGCCAGCUGUCCCACACGUGAGACUCUGGGGUGGGGCUGGGGUAAGAAUUGCGUCUGGCUGGUCUUUUUCAAUUCAGAAAAAGCUGAGAGCUUGGGAUGUGCGGGAAGGGACUCAAAGCAAAGGACUAUAACUA